rnacentral:rRNA from 1 species
CACUCCUGCGGGAGGCAGCAGUGGGGAAUAUUGGACAAUGGGCGCAAGCCUGAUCCAGCCAUGCCGCGUGAGUGAUGAAGGCCCUAGGGUUGUAAAGCUCUUUCACCGGAGAAGAUAAUGACGGUAUCCGGAGAAGAAGCCCCGGCUAACUUCGUGCCAGCAGCCGCGGUAAUACGAAGGGGGCUAGCGUUGUUCGGAAUUACUGGGCGUAAAGCGCACGUAGGCGGAUCGAUCAGUCAGGGGUGAAAUCCCAGGGCUCAACCCUGGAACUGCCUUUGAUACUGUCGAUCUGGAGUAUGGAAGAGGUGAGUGGAAUUCCGAGUGUAGAGGUGAAAUUCGUAGAUAUUCGGAGGAACACCAGUGGCGAAGGCGGCUCACUGGUCCAUUACUGACGCUGAGGUGCGAAAGCGUGGGGAGCAAACAGGAUUAGAUACCCUAGUAGUCCCAU